rnacentral:rRNA from 1 species
UACGUAGGGGGCAAGCGUUAUCCGGAUUUACUGGGUGUAAAGGGAGCGUAGACGGUCUGGCAAGUCUGAUGUGAAAGGUCGGGGCUCAGCCCCGGAACUGCAUUGGAAACUGUUGGACUAGAGUGCAGGAGAGGUAAGUGGAAUUCCUAGUGUAGCGGUGAAAUGCGUAGAUAUUAGGAGGAACACCAGUGGCGAAGGCUGCUUACUGGACUGUAACUGACGUUGAGGCUCGAAAGCGUGGGGAGCAAAC